rnacentral:rRNA from 1 species
GGUUGAUCCUGCCAGUAGUCAUAUGCUUGUCUCAAAGAUUAAGCCAUGCAUGUCUAAGUAUGAACAAAUUUAUACUGUGAAACUGCGAAUGGCUCAUUAAAUCAGUUAUAGUUUAUUUGAUAAUGCCUUACUACUUGGAUAUCCGUGGUAAUUCUAGAGCUAAUACAUGCAAACAAAUCCCGACUUCUGGAAGGGAUGUAUUUAUUAGAUAAAAAACCAACCCGGAAACGGUUCUUUGGUGAUUCAUAGUAACUUUUCGAAUCGCAUGACUUUACGUCGGCGAUGGUUCAUU